CCUGGCAGAUAAUGUUAGAUUUGUCAAUGGAAUAGGAACUUAUGGCUGUUGUAGAAAUUGAAACACGGUGUACAGAUAAAGGGUGAUACCCAGCUCCUACCAAAAAGAAUAUUUCCUGAAAUUUGGGAGGAUGUUCUAUGAGAUUGAGAAUUGUACAUACAUCAGAAGUGAGAAGCUCAGAUAAUAUAAUAGGGUGGAAGGAAAAAGAAAAUGGGGAAAAAAAAGAGAGAAAUUUGUUCACGAUGCGAAAAUCAAUUGAUCAUCUGUAGGAUGAAUUUUAACUUUUAAAUUCCAGCAGUAAAAAAAUUUGGCUUAUCGAGUUUGAUAUGCUUUGGAUCCCUAAUAUUUUGCAUUAUUGAGUUUGAGAAUAUUCUCAAAGUUGUUGUAGUGUGAAUGGUGGCGUAUGCCUCUUGGAAUGUUAUAUUUGGCCAGUACAGC
rnacentral:misc_RNA from 1 species